GGACCCGCACAAGCGGUGGAGCAUGUGGUUUAAUUCGAAGCAACGCGAAGAACCUUACCAAGUCUUGACAUCCCACUGACCGGUCGGUAACGCGGCCUUUCCUUCGGGACAGUGGAGACAGGUGGUGCAUGGUUGUCGUCAGCUCGUGUCGUGAGAUGUUGGGUUAAGUCCCGCAACGAGCGCAACCCUUAUCCCUAGUAGCCAGCAGGUAAGGCUGGGCACUCUAGGGAGACUGCCAGGGAUAACCUGGAGGAAGGUGGGGAUGACGUCAAAUCAUCAUGCCCCUUAUGACUUGGGCUACACACGUGCUACAAUGGCGUAAACAAAGUGAAGCGAGAGUGUGAGCUUAAGCAAAUCACAAAAAUAACGUCUCAGUUCGGAUUGUAGUCUGCAACUCGACUACAUGAAGCUGGAAUCGCUAGUAAUCGCGGAUCAGAAUGCCGCGGUGAAUACGUUCCCGGGUCUU
rnacentral:rRNA from 1 species